AUGGAGUACCAGGGACAGCAGCAGCAGGCCCAGGCGGCCAACCGCGUGGACGAGUACGGUAACCCGGUGGCCGGCCACGGCACCGGCGCGGCCACUGGUGGGCAUAUCCAGCCCCUGAAGGACGAGCACCAGGCUGGCGGCGGGAUCCUGCACCGGUCCGGCAGCUCGAGCUCCAGCUCGUCUGAGGAUGAUGGCAUGGGCGGAAGGAGAAAGAAGGGCAUCAAAGAGAAGAUCAAGGAGAAGCUCCCCGGUAGUCACGCUGACCAGCAGCAGACCGCUGGCACCUACGGACAGCAAGGUCAUACGGCAGGGAUGGCCGGCACCGGGGCGCAUGGGGCGCAUGGCACCACGGCCUCCGGCGGCACCCAGGGGCUGCAGGGACACACCGGAAUGACCGACACGGCGACUCACGGCGCCCACGGCACGGGCGAGAAGAAGGGCGUCAUGGACAAGAUCAAGGACAAGCUGCCCGGACAGCACUGA
rnacentral:rRNA from 1 species